AGGACGAACGCUGGCGGCGUGCUUAACACAUGCAAGUCGGACGGUGAAGCUCCAGCUUGCUGGAGUGGAUCAGUGGCGAACGGGUGAGUAACACGUGAGCAACCUGCCCCAAACUCUGGAAUAAGCACUGGAAACGGUGUCUAAUACUGGAUACGAGACCAACCUGCAUGGGUAUGGUUUGGAAAGUUUUUUCGGUUGGGAUGGGCUCGCGGCCUAUCAGCUUGUUGGUGAGGUAAUGGCUCACCAAGGCGACGACGGGUAGC
rnacentral:rRNA from 1 species